GGACUCGGACUCCUGUUGGGGGUAGACAAACAGCUUGUCGGAACCGGACUAGUGCCAAUUUGAAGUCAGUAUCCUCAGCUAGGUGAACUGGUGACUUGAGGGGCAUGAUGUUCCAAACUUCUUUGGCGAAAGGGCAGAGGAAGAAUAAGUGCAUUGCUGUUUCUACCUCGGUGCAUCGGGGGCAUUGGGCUGCAGAAAUCAUUCCUCUUCUUUGGAGUUCUGCGCCUAUAGAUGGGUGGAGAUUCGACGGUGGGGCUUGUUGUGCUUGCGAGUUAUAUCCAGAUUUGGAUGAGUAGACUCCAGUGUGAAGAGGGAGCCAGACAUAAAUGUCCUCUGCCCCUAGCUUGCUUGGCUUUAUGCAUUGAAUCUGCGAGCUGAAGCUUGGUAAGAAUUGCUCUAUUCUCUCUUUAUUUGACUCUUUGAUGAUGAUAACCUAGCGAUUUCGAAAUGGGCCCAACUUGCUUAAUAGAGAUAAAAGUAUACACGUAGAGAUUGAAACGUUCUGACCAGAACACACCAGGUAGUGCCCAAAUCAGAUAAAAUCAUCCAACGUUGAUGAUGUCAUGAUAUGCUGCAGAUGGUCUUAGCUUAUCAUCAAGGCUCUCUUUACCAAAGAUAAGCUAUCUCGAUAGCUUAUGUCUUAUCAGUUAUCACUGACCAUUGAAAGAAUCACUCUCGGUUAGCCGUUGGAGUGAGAUACAGACUCAAAUCUUUAUAUGAGGCAUAACUUUUCCAAUGUAA